CAGAUGGCGUGCUGCAGUCCGCCCCCAGUUUUCUCGCACCCACACAGCCAGCAAAACGGCAGCCAGGAACCAAUACGGUGCGCCGGGGGAGGAUUUAUGCCAACGAAUUCAGACGAGUUACGAUACGCUCGGGGAAUUAGCUGAUAACUAGGAGCAGUCUUUAAGUGGGAAAGAAAAAGAUAUCGCGUAAUACACUGAAUAAUACACAAUUGUAAGCCUACCCUACUUGGAUAUUGCUGUGGUCUUUCGCCAAUAGUGUAGCGUAAUAACAGGCUAGCUACAUGCUAUUGCAAAUGAGGGUAGCGUGGUCUGGGUAUCAUUUUAAGCAUUAAGCAAAAAGUUAUUAAUAUCUCUUGCGUGAUAUUAAUAUUUUGUCUUUUGCCGUAAAAGCAUAGGCUAUUAUACUGGCUAACACUGCACAAGAUUGGUUGUUGGAAACGAAUAGCCAUAAGGGGUCGAUCUCUUCAAACAAUCCAGUCGUCGGACCUAGAGUCCUGUGCCAUGUCUCUGCCACGCACACUGGGGGAGUUGCAGCUGUACAGGGUUCUGCAGAGGGCCAAUUUACUGGCAUACUACGACACCUUCAUCCAGCAGGGCGGUGAUGAUGUUCAGCAGCUCUGUGAGGCUGCAGAGGACGAGUUUCUGGAGAUCAUGGCACUAGUAGGCAUGGCCACCAAGCCACUACAUGUGCGCAGACUGCAAAAGGCCCUCCGGGACUGGGCAGCUAACCCCACCCUCUUCAACCAGCCACUAGCUAAUGUGCCUUUAGGUGGCAUCCCACUGUUUAAGGUGGAGGGGACAGGCACAAGUGGGGUGGCAGCAGGAGGACAUAAGAAGUCCCUAAGCAACGGCCAGCCAGGAUCACCAUGUGAGAGGGAGGACAGGGCAUGCCUAACCCCACUACACAGUGGGAGUCCUAGAAGCCCCUGUUCUCAGGCUUCUCCACUGCCUCCAGACACACAUUACAGGGACAAGCUGUCCCCCAUGGACCCUCACUGGCUCAGUCCUGAGACGGACGGAAACAGUGCCUCUGCUUCUGCAUCAGGGUUGGAGGAGGAGCAGCCCAGCCCACCUCUGCUCCCUCAAUGUCCUCCAGGUCCCUCCACACCCCCUGCCUCCUCCUCCCUCACGCCAGUCCUAUCAGCCUGGCCUGGGGGCCAGCUGGAUGGGGAAACAGCUCGGGCCGUGGGGGAAAGUGUGGAGAGGCUCCUGAGGACCCUGCCCAGGUCAGACCCUGGAGAGGUGAAAACACUGCUGAGGAUGAACAAGAAGAUGGCCAAAACAGUCGGUCAUAUCUUCAAAAUGGCACCCCAGGAUGUGGCCAAAGAGGAGGAGAUCCGCAAGUAUAGUCUCAUUUAUGGGCGCUUCGACUCCAAGAGGAGAGAGGGCAAGCAGCUCACACACCACGAGCUGAUCAUCAAUGAAGCUGCUGCCCAGUUCUGUAUUCGUGACAAUGCCCUUCUACUGAGACGGGUGGAGCUCUUUUCAUUGGCUAGACAGGUGGCGAGAGAAUGUGCCUACACCUCUACGCUAAAGCAUACCAGGACAAGUGCAGAUGACUGCAGCUUGUUGCCGCAAAAAAGAGUAAAACAUGAGGUGAUCGUGUCUGAGUGUGUUUCAUCACUGCAUGGAGUGGAGGGCUCAGAAGGCGGGGCUCAGAGGGCUGAUGAGGACAGCUUGUCUGGAGAAAGCCUGGACAGUUUAACACAAGACGUAGGCUCACAGUGCAACCAAUCUCCAUCCCCCCGCCCCCCCACCGACACCUCCAUCCCUGCCAACUGGAGUCGCCAUCUCAUGCAACAAACGCUUAUGGAUGAAGGGCUGCGAUUGGCUAUGAUGGUGUCACAUGACCGGGCUGGCAAGGUCAGCCUAGGGUCUGAGGGGAAACAUUUCACAGGACUCUGUAUCAUGGACAAAGACAAACUGCAGACUAUAAAGUAAAGGAAAGGGAGAAGGGGAUGAGUGACAAAUAGAAAAAAGCUACAACUGGGACUAUGAAACUUGUAGAAAACUACGACGGCAAGGCAGAAAGAAGAGGCUCAGUAGCAGCAUGCAGGAGUAGCAGUCCUGGCAGUACCAAAGAUGACUCGGACCAGGGGGGGAAGUGAAACCCCCUCAUUGAGAAGCUCUCUAUGACCCUGCCUUUCAACGCCACUCAAAAUCUGGAGGGUGACCAACUGAACAGGUUCCCCCACUGUUCUUUACCCACUGACAUUCAUGAAGACCAGCUCAGUCUAGAUCACCUAAACUAUGUACGUCUGAAUCUGAGAAUUCUGGGACAGACAACCUAAACCUAUGAACAUUGUGACCUCCAGUGUUACAACUGUGUAACAUGUCACCAAAUUUACCUCUGUAUAUACCAAGACCCAGACCAAUAAUGUUGGUGGAUUUGCUUAUCACAAGACCACAGUAACACUCAUUAACUUGUAGGCGGCAAACACUGUCACACAAUUCUGCGGAUGAUCUCAACGUUUCCUCUUUAAAUGUAAUCCUCGUAAUCCCUUUCCCAGUACACCUUCAGAAAAUGGAUGCAAAAUAAUUAACUCUAACUUUUGGUGCUAUUUUUGUUCUGUUGACAGUACAGUUGUUGCUGAAGAAGGAACAUAUUCUGACUGUCCAGACAAUUGAAGCAAAUAUGAGGCUGUGAGGAACAUGUGAGGAUGUUUCACAGAUGCAGAUUGCACCUUCAGUUUUUGUUUCUCCUUUAGGACUGAACAUAAACCUUGUCUGUGAAACAUUACCCUUUUUGAGUGGCAGAUAUGUUAUUUGUGUGGUAACUACAGAGGAUUUAAGUGUUAAGACUAGAACAUCAUCUUCCCAAAUAAUUUUAUCAAGUAAACUGCAGCAACUGUCCCUACAGCAACACCCACUCAAAACAUAUUUACUGGGGUGGGUGUUUAUUAACCCAUGUUAAUAACAGUAAGCCUUUUGAUAAUAUUUGUUGGAGAGCAAACUUUCCUUUUGUUAACUAAGUCUAAUACCUUGCGGCAAUGUGAAGUAGAAUAAUCAUCCAAUGUUUUAUUUUUGAUACAGUAUUUGUCAUACCACAGACUCAUGUGAUUUAAAGGAUUUCACACUGUAAAGUCAUUAAGUUAUUUAAAGCAACUGCAUCUGAUUAAUUAAGCAAUUGGACCAAUACAAAAAAGUACAUUUUGACAUUUAGAUUUGAGGGUAGUCAGUUUAUAAAUCAUUACUAUUUUCUUUCAGCAUUAAACAAUAUCUUCAGUUUCUCAUGUUAAAAAAAGAUUAUUUAUUUUGUUAAAACAAAAUAAAUGUUAUUUUGUGGUUUAAA